rnacentral:lncRNA from 1 species
GUCCCUAAAAAUGAUUAAGUUAUAGUGAUAACUAAGUCAUAGCCUCCCAUUAAGUGAGUGAUAAUGAGUCCAUUAGUUUAAUAAUCACUGGAGGCCCAAAGGCCUGGUGCUUAUUGACUAAUGGAAUUAUCAUUCAUAAUAUGAUAAUUUGGUUGAGUCUUUCUGAUGGUGGUCAGGUUGGCCGACCAAAGUCGGGUCUGAUCAUUUAUUGGUCCGAUUCACCAAAUCAAGUCAUGUUAAUAGUUGGACCUAAC